CACGUAGGGGGCGAGCGUUGUCCGGAUUCAUUGGGCGUAAAGCGCGCGUAGGUGGCCUCAUAAGUCCGCUGUGAAAGUCAAAGGCUCAACCUUUGAAAGCCGGUGGAUACUGUGAGGCUAGAGUACGGAAGAGGCGAGUGGAAUUCCUGGUGUAGCGGUGGAAUGCGCAGAUAUCAGGAGGAACACCAAUAGCGAAGGCAGCUCGCUGGGACGUUACUGACACUGAGGCGCGAAAGCGUGGGGAGCGAACAGG
rnacentral:rRNA from 1 species